GGGGCGGGGGCCGGAACCGGCCUCAGCUGGGGCCCGGCCGUCCCCCUCCCCCGCCCUCCUCCAGGUCUCCGGGGGAACGCGCAGCCAAUCCCCGCCGCCCACUGCGGGCUCGCCCCGGCCCGGGCCGCGGCGCGCCAGCCUUGGGCCGGGGCUUUUCCCCUCUCUCCCUCGCCAUCUCUCCCGCUCUGCUUUCCCCGUUCCCUUCUCCACGACGAGUUUUUAAACUUUGAUGAACUCGCCCAGCGAACUUUCUUAAAGGGGCCGCGCGCCCCGCGCUGUCCCAGCCCGCGGGAGGUGGAGCUGGGUGCCAGGCGCCCCGCGACCCCUCGCCCCCGGCAUCUCCGCCCCGGCGGCUCCACGCUAGGGGCGCCCGAAGCGGGGGUCCUGGGUCGUCGGCUUCGGGAAGUAGGCUCCUCUUGUACUCUGAUCCGGGUUAUAGGGUGUUCGGCAAACUCAUUUCACCCUCAAAUCCAGCCUCCCAGACCCGGUCCACGCUCUCUUCCCUCCCCCGAGCUCAGGGCUGCUGGGAGCCGGGUUCUGGAGAUGAUGGCUGGAGGGGGGGCGCCUAGACACCUGGGCUUUGGCCUUGGCUGGGCGCCGUUUUGCUACGUGACCUUGAGGAAAUCACUUCCCCUCUCUGGCCUCAGGCUUCCAGCCCAGAGGGUGGGACUUACAUCUCAAACUAAUCUUCCCGCUCCCAGUCACUGAAUAGGACCAAGGCUGGGAGACGAGCCUUUGGGACCCAAAUGGUUAUUAGCCCCAAGGAAGGGGUGCCUCGAGUGACCGAGAAGCUUCCAUUCGCCUCCCCCUCUCCCACCCAGCUUUUGGGUCCUCUCCUCCCUCGGCUUAAAUGCCUCCCCAGCACACACACACACACGCAUGCACACACACACAUUUCGCCGCCUCCUAUUCAGAGCCCGAGGGCGCGGGGAGGGGAAAGCAGGCUCGCGGCUCGGGCGGGGUCGUCGUGACUCCCCUCCACGGGUCUUGAGGGCGCGGCCCCGGGGUUGGUUUUCCUCUGAGUUUGAAAACCCGCGCCGCUAGGGGCCGGCCCUGCCGCCACCUCGGAAGAACCCGCGCCCACCUCGAGUCGCGCUUAAAGUGCAGCAGCCACAAGCCCGGCGGAGCCGCGCGGAGACUGGCCACCUCCCCGGCGCCCCCGCCUCCGAACUCGAGCUGCGCCCUGGGGGAUCCCGGCCAGAGGCUUCGUCGGGACUCGGGAAACCACUGCCGAGAGGUCAAAGGUUCCUGGCUUGGACCCUGGGCUCCCAGCUUACACCUCCCGCUCAGCAGACAGAGCCCCUGCCCCACCACCAGCUCCUAUCCAACCACUGGGCCAGUGGCUUUUGCAAUUGGGGAAACUGAAGUUCAGCAGCUGAAAUCAACUCACCUGAGGUCACACAGCAAGCAAGAUUAGCCCUGAGCUAACAUCUGCUACCAAUCCUCUUCUUUUUGCUGAGGAAGACUGGCCCUGAGCUAACAUCCGUGCCCAUCUUCCUCUACUUUAUAUGUGGGACACCUACCACAGCAUGGCUUGCCAAGCAGUGCCAUGUCCGUACCCGGGAUCCGAACCAGCAAACCCGGGCCACAGAAGUGGAACAUGCGUACUUAACCACUGCGCCAUCGG
ensembl:lncRNA